ACAAAGGCUCUUUUAAGAGCCACCUCCAGCCUUCCACAAGAGCUCU
rfam:Tetraodon nigroviridis chromosome undetermined SCAF14565, whole genome shotgun sequence.